GACAGAGGCCCCAAGCGUUAGGCGGAAUCACUGGGCUUAAAGCGUGUGUAGGCGGACGCCUAAGUGUCUUGUGAAAUCCCACGGCUCACCCGUGGAACUGCUGGGCAUACUGGGCGUCUUUGGGCCAACUAGGGGCAGCCGGAACAAGCGGUGGAGCGGUGAAAUGCGUAGAUAUCGCUUGGAACGCCGAAGGUGAAAACAGGCUGCUGGGGUUGCGCCGACGCUGAGACACGAAAGCCAGGGGAGCAAACGGG
rnacentral:rRNA from 1 species